rnacentral:lncRNA from 1 species
GAAACUUGGAGAGAGACAUGGAACAGAUUCUCCCUUGGUGCCUCCGGAAGGAACCAACACUGCUGACACUGAUUUGAGAUUUCUAUUAUCUUGAACAGGGAUGCAACAAAUUUCUGUUGUUUGAAGCUACCCUCUAGGCAGUUUGUUAAAUCAGCCCCAGGAAACUAGUACAUUUUGUAUGGGAGGAUACGGCAUAGCAAAAUGCAAUAUCCACCUAAAUAUAAUGCAUCUAUAUAUGAUACACAACUGUCUCCUUGGGGUAACUAUUCAGAGAAAUACUCUAUUUAGGCCCAGUCAUAAUUGCUGUGUACUUUUCACUUUCCAAUAAGGAAACUGGAAAUUCUGGUGUACCAAGAGCAUAGAGAAUUAAUACACUUCAAACAUUAUAUAAUUAAGUAGCUAUUCAUUGAUUCAAGUAGUACAAUUAAUUAAUUGGAAACUUUUUUCAAAAGCUCAAUAUUUGAAAAUGCCAUCAUGAUUCCCUAUGGAGAAGUACAAAUAGACUAAGGAAUUAAAAUGACUGCAUUCAAAAAUCCUGAUCCUUUCAUUAUGGACUGCUAAUCCUGGAUUUAGGAGAUGAACUCUGAUUUAUGGGCUUGAGAAGUAAAUGAUCCAGAAAGUUCCUGGAGAGGGAGAAGAAUAUGAUGGAAAAGGUAUGUUUUUCCAUAUAUCUGUUUUAACUGUACUAAUCAUGUAAUCUCAUGUCUGCUAUUAUUUAUGGUUUCUGUGCUUCGGCAUAAUUUAAAUUGCUCAUGAUACAUGCAGAAUUCCCAGAAAUAUGUGCAGUUCUUAACCACAGCAGUUAAUAAAAACAAAGCCAUUAGCUACUAAAAAGGAAAUCAAACGUUUGAGGCCAUUUCCACAUCAAUGAUACAAAUGGAUCAAAAAGGCCUCAAAUCAGAUUUUGUUGUCACACAGACAAAAAAAUAUAUGCUUAGGUAACUGAAUUUGAAUUUGAAUUUUCAAAAUAAACACAGAUUUUGGUCAAAGUGGUUUGUGUAGCUUGAUAGAACUAAAACUUGUCAAGAGUUUUAAGCUGAAAGUCAGCUAUGGAAAUCUAGGCACUACUAAGCCUACUUUCUCAAAGGCAAAAAAAUGAAUAAUGUAUUUUUCACUGACCAUGGAGAAAAUGAUUAUGGGGAUCAUUUAUGUACUGAGAAAAAGGUUUGGGAGUUUAUCUGACCACAGGUUAAAAAUAUUAGCCAACAGUGUGAUGUGGCUGCUGAAUAAGCUCACACAAUCUUAAGCUACAUUUGUAAUAGUAAUGAUAGCUUCUAUGAGUGUAUUGCUUUACAUUGUAAAGAAUGCUUACACACAGAUGAUCUCAUUUUACAUAGUAACCAGAAUACAGGAAGUCAGUAUUGUUCUCUGAAUGACCUAAACACAUCUGUUGUAUGGUCUCAUAUUAUAAGGAAUAUAGUGACACCUUUCACUAGACUAUAUUCAGAAGAGGGUAGGCUUAAUAGCAUAAAGUUUCUAUAAGAAAUUAUUGACAUUUAAUAUAAAAUAUGUAUAUGGGGUAAAAAUGGGAGCUCAUAACCCACUUGAAUCAAAUUGUGAAAUAUGAUAUAUCAAGAACUAUGUAAUGUUUUGAACAGCCAACAAUAAAAAAUGUAAAAAAAAAGAAUUAUUUAGAAUAUGGAGAAAAACAAUGCCAAAUGUUUUCUCUGAUAUAAGGAGGCUGAUUCAUAGUGGGGUAGGGAGGGGGAGCAUGGGAGAAAUAGAUGAAUUCUAGAUAGGGCAGGGGGGUGGGAGGAAAAGAAGAGGGCAGGGGAUUAGCAAGAAUGGUGGAAUAUGAUAGUCAUCAUUAUCCAAAGUACAUGUAUGAAGACUUUAUACACAACCAGAGAUAUGAAAAAUUGUGCUCUAUAUGUGUAAUAAGAAUUGUAAAGCAUUCUUCUAUCAUUUUUUUAAAAAAUCAAUAAAAAGAAUAUGAAAAAAAGAUAAAAAAAUAUAUAUAAAAUCUACUUCUUUGGGGGGGAUAUUAGCAAUUGAACUCAGAGGCACUCAGCCACUGAGCCUCAUCACCAACCCAAUUUUGUAUUUUAUUUAGAGACAGGGUCUCACUGAGUUGCUUAGCACCUCUCUUAUUGCUGAGGCUGGCUUUGAACUCAUGAUCCUCCUGCCUCAGCCUCCAGAGCUGCUGGGAUUACAGGUGUGUGCCAGUAUGCCUGGCUGAAAUCUACUUACAACAAAUUUGUUAAUACAUAGCACAGUAUGGUUACCUAUAUACCUAUUGUUGUUUGUCAUAACUUUUUCAUCUUGCAUGACUGAAACUCUACAUUUAUCUAUAUUCAUUGUAUUCCUCAUAUUUACUUCCCCAAUCCCUUUAAACCAUUAUUUUACAUUCUGCUUCUAAGAAAUAUAUUAGAUGACCUUAUGCAGUAUUUGUCGUUUCGUGACUGUCUUAUUUCACUAAGUGUUCACUAAAUAUAAUCUCCUCAAGGUUAAUUCAGAUCACAGGAGUUCCUUCAUUUUCAAGGAUAAAUAUAUUCUAUUGUAUGCAUGUAACACAUUUUAUUUAUCCAUUCUUCUGACAAUGGAUGUUUAGGUUAUUUCUAUCUCUUGGCUAUUGUGAAGAGUGCUGCAGUGAACACAGGAAUGUAAAUAUCUCUUUAAGAUUCUGAUUUCAAUUCUUUUUGGACAAGACAUAAAAAUGGGAUUGUUGGAUGAUUCGUUUCUAUUUGUUUGUGUGCUUGUAAUUAAACCCAGGCCGUUGUACAUGCUAGGCAAGCACUCGGCCAUUGAGCUAUACCACUAGCUCCUAUUUUUAAAUUUUUCAAGACCUACUAUACUGUUUCCUACAGAGAUUGUGCCAUUAUACAUUUUCACCAAUGGUACACAAAUUUUCCAAUUUCUCCAUAUUCUCACUAUCCCUUCUUUUUUUCUCAGUCUGUUUUUUUUUUUAUGAAUAGCUAUUCUAAUGGGUGCAAGAUGAUAUCUCACUGUGGUUUUGGCUUUUAUUUCCCUGAUCAUUAGUGAUUUCUAUCAUUUUUUGCUCUGCCUAUCAACCAUAUAUAAUAUAUUCUUUGGGAAUAUCUAUUCAUGUCCACUUCCAGUAUUUAAUCAGGUUAUAUUUUGCUAUUUUUUAUUAAGUUGUAGUAGUAAUAUCUAUAUUUUGGAUAUUAACCCCUUAUCAGAUAUAGAGUUAAUAUUUCCUCACAUUUCAUAGGUGUUUUUUCACUUGAUUAUUUCCUUCACUUUACAGACACUUUCCAGUUUGCUGUUGUCCCACUUGCUUAUUUUUGCUUCAGUUUUCUGUACUGCUGCUGUCAUAGCAAAAAAAAAAAAAAAUCAUUGCCAAUACUAAUGUCAUUAAGCAUUUCCCUUGUGUUUUCUUCUGGGAUUUUUAUAGUUUCAGGUUUUAUGUUUAAAUCUUUAAUCCAUUUUGAGUUGAUUUGGGGGUAUGGUAUGAGAUAAGAGUCUAAAUACAUUUUUUUUCAUGUGGAUACACAUUUUUCCCAAGGCUGUUUGUUUUGGGAUACUAUUCUUUUCCCAUUGUGUAGUCGUCACCCAUUUAUUUAUGAUCAUUUGACCAAACAUUUGCAGCUUUAUAUAUGGGCUCUUUUGUUCUAUUCAUCUAUAUGGUUCUCCUUAUUCCAGUACUGUACUGUUUUAAUUAUUACAGAUUUGUUAUAUGUUUUGAAUACAGAACGUGUGAGGCUUCCAGCUAUGUUUUUAUUUCUCAAGGUUGUUUUGGUUAAUUGGGAACCUCUGUGGUUUUGUUUCAGUUUUAGGAUCUUUUUUCUAUUUGUGCAAAAAAAAUGCAAAUAGAAUUUGGAUAGCUAUUGUACUGAAUCAGUAGAUUACUUUGAGUUGUAUGAACAUUUUAACAAUACUUAAUCUUCUACCUGAAGAAUGGGGGCUGUCUUUUCAUUACUUGUACCUUCUAUAAUUUAUUUCAGCAAUGUUUUUAGUUUUCAGUGCACAAGUCUUCUACAUCCUAUGUUAAAUAUAUUCCUAAGUAUUUUAUUCUUUUAGUGCUAUAAAUGGGAUUUUUAAAAUUUCCUUUGUAUUUUGUUCAUUCUGAAUCUAUGGAAAUGGAAAUAUUCUUUCUAAAAUAUGUUUUAGAACUUUUAUUUGUUUAUUUUUAUGCAGUGCUAAAGAUUGAACCCAGUGCCUCACAUGUGCUAGGCAAGCACUCUGCCACUGAGCCCCAGCCCCAGCCCUAAAAAUAUUCUUUGUAUGUUGAUUUUGAUUAAUGCAACAUUGGUUAAGUUUCUUAUUUUAACAGUUCUUUUUAGUUUUCUUCCUACCUAGAUGAUCAAGUCAUCUGUAUAUAGAUACUUGCACUUCUUUCUUUCUGAUUUGAAAAUUUUUUUUCUUGCCUAAUUGCUCUGGCCAGGACUUCAUUUACUAUGUUGAAUAAAAGUAGCAAGAUUGGGUAUCUUUUUCUCGUUCUUAAUAUUGUAGGAGAAGCUUUCAAUUUUGUAUCAUUGAGUAUGAUAUUAACUGUAAGGUUUUAUAUAUGGCUUUUAUUCUGUUAAAGUAAUUUUUUAUUUCCACUUUGUUGCAUAUUUUUUAUUAUCAAAUUGUAUUGAAUUUUGUAGAAGUAAAGUUCUGUCAAUGUUUGGAUCACAUAUUUGGUUGUUCUGAAUUUGGGUGUAUAUGUACUUAUAAUUGUACAUGACUGGUAAAUUGACAGUUUUUGUUAUUACACUGUAUCAUUCUUGGUUUGUCUGAUAAUUUUGACAUAAAAUAUAUUUUAUCUGAUAUCUAUGAUCACAUAUUUUCUUCUUUGGUUAUCAUUUACAUGGAUAUAUUUCUAUCCUUCACUUUCAUCCUAUAUUUGUACUUGAAUCCAGGGUGAAUUUUUUGUGGAGAGCAUAUGGUAGUAUCUCUCUCUUUUAAUCCAUUUAAUCAAUCUAUGUCUUUUGAUUGGGAGCUUAAUUCAACUACAUUUAAAGUAAUUACUGAUAGAAAAAGACUUAGUAUUAUCAUUUUAUUGUUUUCUGUCUUCUAGCCCCACCCCCCAUUCCUUUUUUUAUUUUGCUCCUCUGACUAGACUGUUGCCUUGAAGUUCUUUGAUUCUUUCUUCUGAUUGGUCAAGUCUGCUCUUGAACUCCUCUAGUGAAUUUUUCAAUUCAAUUAUUGUGUUCUUCAUCUCUAAAAUUCCUUUGGGAUAAAAAACAGAUUUAUACCUCUGUUGAUAUUCUCAUUUUGUUCAUGUGCACUUUUACUCUUCCUUAUUUCCACUAAAAAAUAAUUUUACUAAGCCUCUUCAGUAUCAUUAUAAUGAUUAUAAUAAAUUAUUUUUCAGGUCAUCCACAUGUGUCCAUUUCUCAAGGGUCAGCUUAUGAAAAUUUAUCUUGUGCCCUUUAUUGGGCUAUAUUUUCAUGUUCUUCACGUAUCUUGUAACUUUGUGUUGGAAUACACACAUUUGAAAAUAAUAGUCACCUUUCCUGCUGUUCAUAGACUAUAUUUGUGUAGGAAAAGACCUUAAUCUACCCACCUAGAAAUUCUUGGGUCAUAUCAAACCUUUCAGACAGCAAUGGGUGUGCCUUCUCUGGGAUUAUGUUUAUAAUUUUUCAGUUAAAGAACUUUGCCAAUUUAUGUUUUUCAGCAGUUUUUACUUUUUUUUUUCACUUUUAACUCUGUCUGCCAUACUGCAGGUUCUCUUGCACUACUUCAAGCCUCUAAGCUCUUUUUGUUCUCUAUGUUUCCUAGGUAUCCAAAUAUGGUGGUCACAUUAGUAUCCAAGUAAGGUAAGAUAGAAAUCAGUCUCUUUGGGAAUUCCCCCAAAAGUCAGAAUGUUAGAUGAAUAUUCUCUCUCCCAAGGUGCAAUCUACUAGUUUUGCUUUUCUUCCCAAUUGUAAGCUAUCAUUUGGAGGAGAGACUGACAUGGUUGAAAAGCAAAUAUUUUUCUUAUGUAAUUUAACAUGGUUAAAUUUCUUAUGUAAUUUAACGUAGUUUUCUGGGGUGCUAUGAAUUCCUAUAUGAUUUUUAGAGUUCUAAUAAAAGCAUUUUGGAUGGUAUAUUGCUGUGAAGUUCUUAUUUAUGUGGGAAAACAUUGUAGGGUCUUCCAAUUACACAUCUUUCUAGUAUUACCUCCUGCCCUAUAUUGCUUGUUUAUACCAUUCUUCUCCCUCCUUAUUUGCUUAGGGCCAUGCUUGCCUCUAAGCCACCUUUGUUUCUCCACAGAUCCUACACACAGUAGGUAUUCAAUAAAUAUUAACUGAAUGAGCCCUAUCAAUAAUUCUAAUUAAGAAUGAGAGAGUACCUUCUUGAAGCUUUGGUUCAUUAAGAGUAGGUGUUUCCUUUGUUAUGAAAUAUACCAAAGUAGGAGCUUAUAUUUUUAGGUUGGUGAUAUACAUUAACUGAAACUAUAUUAUCAUGAUACAAUUUUGUGAAGAUUUUAAAAUUAUAUUUAUUAUUGUAAACUUGUAUACUUAUUGUGAUAGAUAUAAGAAAGAGAUAUUAAGAAGAAACAGGAUUCUUAUUAUUGAAAACUAAAAGAUAAAACAAGAGAGUUUGAGGAGGUAGUGUUCAUCACACACUAAACAUCUAUUGUGUUCCAGGCAAGGUUCUAGCAGAGAAAUCCUUCAAUGUUGCAAAAGAGUGUAUAAAGAUCCUGAGAAGUAAGAGGAUACAGAGUCCUAGAUUUGAGGUGUGCCUGAGAAGCUUCUUGUAAUGCAUAAAUGUUCAUAAGUAAAAUGAUUAAAUUAUGAGACCUAUCACCUAAUGAAUGACAUUCUUGUCUGAAUGAACUCACUGGAUGGUAACUAUAGACAGGUAAGGUAUGGCUGGAGGAGGUGAGUCAUUGUGGACAUGCCACAGAAGGGUGUAUUGUCCCUGUGCCCCUUCUCUCCACCUGAUUCUCCUUCCUAGGUGCCAUGAGGAGAGCAACUUCUCUCUACCGCACCCUGACUCCAUGUACCCAGAGUAAUGGAGUUAGCCAUCUGUGAACUGAGGCCUCUGAAACAGUGAGCUUCACAUAAACUUUUCCUCCUCUAAGUUGUUCUUGUCAAGUGUUUUGGUCACAGAAAUGAAACAGCUAACUAAAACAGAGAAAAUUACCCAAUUAUGUAAUCAUAAGGAUACUGAGAGAUGAGUUUCAAUAAAGUGGUGGGGGUGAAGUUAAAUUUUGGUGAGAUAAGAAAUAAAUGAUAUAUAAUAAAACAGAUGCUCUGUAUAUACUUUUCCCCCAAACAAUUAGAUAGGGACAGGAAAAAGAUGGAAUAGUAAAUCCUGAAAAGAUACAGGAUAUCAAGGGAAUAUGUACGCAUGUGUGUGUGUGUGUGUUUGUGUGUAUACACACAUACAUACAUACAUAUAUUUAUAUGUGUAUAUAUGUGUAUAUAUAUAUGUAUAUAUACAUAUGGAGAGAGAAUUUACUCUAAUUAUUAUAAUUAUUAUAGGAUCUAAUUUCAAAUUACAGUUGCAAGAAGAAAUAAUUGAUGGUUUCUAAAAUAUAUGGGAAGGAUACAAAUAAGGGCAGAGGUAGAUAAUUUAAAUUUGGAAAGUUAGGGAGGGAGAGAUAAAAUAAUAUGAUACUUUGAAAUACAGGGGAAGAAAACUGAGUCAUUUUACAUUAAAUUGUCUUGGUCUAUUUUCCCAGUGGCUGGAUAUGACAUGGGUUUAAGACCUAUAGAUGAGAUAAAUUACACUAAGUUUCCUUCACUGCAAAUAAAGACCAUAGAAUGGAGUUAUAACACUGAGAAGAGUAGAUUAAAUACAAUGAAACAAUCCCUUAUAAAAACAGGUGGAAGAUGACUACUAGAAUUAUUUAUGGGAAAUUAUUAAUGUAAAUCAAAUAGAAUGUUGAAGAGACAAGAGCCUAAUGAAACAAUAUAACCAUGGACUUGCCUUUUAUAAAUGAGAAGUUAAUUCUUAUUCAGCUAUUUCUACACAUUAUUACAUGAAGGCAGGGUUUCCCUCUGAUCUUCAAAUUUUAACCCACUCCCACUGCUAUUGGCUCAUUAUUUAUUGUUGUUUACCUCCUCUCUUACUUAAACUUCUUUGUAUGUCCUAAGAAUGUAAAAACUAAAAUCUCAGGCUCAAUGUUAGGAAUAAAUAAUUAAAUGUAUGCAUACAGAAGCAACCUGCAAUAUAUAAUAGCUACUUGUUUGAUAUACAAAAUAUUCAUUCAUGAGAACAGCUGUUAUUAGGUUAAUAAAGUGUUUGGAUAUGAGAUGUUCCCCCCAAAGCUCAUGUGGCGAUGCACAGAUAUUCAGAUAUUAAUGAUUAGAUUAUAAGAGCUAUAACCUCAGCAGUGGAAUAAUUCAUUUAAUGGAUUAAUAGUUUGAAUGUAUUUGUAGGUAGUGACUCUAGGCAGGUAGGGCAUGGCUGGAAAAAGUAGGUAACUAAGGGUAGGCCCCUGGGGAUUAUAUUAUGCUGGCUCCUUGCACUCAAGCUCUCUGCUUCCUGGCUUCCAUGAGCUGAAAAGCUUUUCUCCAUCACACAAUUUUACCAUGAUUUUUCUGCCUCAUUUGUGUCCAGUGUAAUGACUUGGCCAACCCAGGGACUGAACCAUGAGCCCCAAAUAAACUUUUCCUCUUCUAAAUUGCUUUUGUCAAGUAUUUUGGUCACAGCAAUAAAAAACUGACAUAUGUAAGCUAACUACCUGGCUGAGAAUAAAAGUAGAAACACAAAAGUAGGUAAAUUAUUCCUGUAACACAUUCAUACGUAUAUAAUAUCAGUCAUGAUAAUUUUUGAGCUGACUAAUAAUGGUUGUGCUAAGAAUCAUGUAUUUAGUUGAUUCCUCAUGAAUAUGUUCAGUUAAACUGCCUGCUACAAGUGUCAAUGGCUAAAGGAAUCUUUCUAUCAUGCUAAUUUACAUAAUUCUUUAAGAAAUUAAUUAAAUAGUACCUAAAAUGGUUUGAGUUCCUUUGAGAAUUAUAUUGCAUAAAUAAGAGGUGUUAUUAUUAAAGUUGACCCUUUCCUUUCCUCAAUUCCUUUAUAUAGAGUUGGUAUAUAUUUCUUUAAUUACAAAGCACUCUCAUAUUCCCAUAAUUGAGCUAAGGGGGUUUUCAAACUGGGCCUUGACAAAAAUUCCUUCUCUUAUAUUAUAUUACACAUUACAUCACACAUUCGCAUUCCUUUUAUUCCUUUGCUAACUCAUCAUCACAAUCAGCCUUGACACAUGCUGAGAGCCAUAGCUAAGUAGGUACACACAUGGCAAUUUCCUUGUCAGCCUACCCCAUGUUGCUUAGAGGAAGGACUCUCCAUUGUGGACCCAGGUCAUUUGCAGUGACUUUGCAUGAAAGGUGACCUUGCUCAAGGACCAGGGCGGAUCCAGGUUUAGGGCGGAUCCGGGUUUAGGGCAGAUGGGGUUUAGGGCGGUUCCAGGUUUAAGGUGAUUCCUGCUGGGAAUAGGGCAUAUCCUGCUGCCUCAGGCGCCUUGAGUUCCCCUUGAGUUCUCGCGGGAUUCAGAGAGUAUUUGGGAUUCAGAGCCUGGUGGAGAGUGUGGAUUUUGCCCAGAACGUACGUGUAGAGUGCCGGUGACAGUUCGGGAAUAAAGAAUUGCUGUUUGAAUCUGCAAGGCUGUGAGUGGCUCAUGAUUUUGUGCCCAGCCAGACUGCAGCAGACACACACCAUGGUUAUCAUCUCAACAAGUUAAAAUCUUAAGCUUAGCUAUGAAUGGAACAUUAUCUAUACUAUCUUAUAAUGAUAACCAGUUUUCAGGUAUGGCUAUAGCUAUCAAAUUAUUUUACCAUUUGAGAAGGAGUUGGGGCCUAACUUGCAAAGAUUAAAAUGUCAAAAUAAUACUAUCUUAAUAAUUUUUAUUUUCUUACUAAAGCAGUUCAAACUAGAUAGCCUUUUAACUUGCCAUAUCUGAUCAUUCUUACCCUCUGUCCAAAAAUCUAUUUUAAAAAAGAAGUAGCAGGAGGGCUGGGGUUGUGGCUCAGCAGUAAUGCACUUGCCUGGCAUGUGUGAGGCACUGGGGCACAUGUGUGAGGCACUGGGAUUGAUUCUCAGCACCACAUAUAAAUAAAUAAAAUAAAGGUCUAUCAACAACUAAAAAAAACCUUUAAAAAAAGUAGCAUGGGUAAGCCAUCAGUAUAAGAGAAGUGAAUAAACAAUGCUACUAAUAUUAAUGGGCAUUAUGGUUAAGUAUGGCUAUAUACAUAUCUCCAAGGAAGAAACAAACCCAUAAUAAUAUAUACUGGGAUGAUCAUUAUUUUUUAAAAAGUGAAUGAUAAAAAGUGUUAUCAGAAAUGUGGAAAAAAUUUUUAACUUUUCUAUAUUAGUUCUAAUGUAAAAUGGUGUAAUUACUUAGGAACAUUGUCUGGCAAUUCCUAUGAAGAUUAAACAUAGAAUGACUAUAUGACCAGAAAUUCUACUCCCAGGUGUAUAUAUAUAUAUAUAUAUAUAUAUAUAUAUAUAUAUAUAUAUGAGAAAUUAAAACAUUUGUCCACACAAAAAAAAUUGUAUGAGAAAAUUUAUAGCAGCCUUCAUCAUAAUAGCCAAAAAGUACAAUAAACUGAAAUGUCUAUCAACUGAUGAAUAGAUAAACAUAAUAUAGUAUUUCCAUAUGAUGGAGUAGUAUUUGGAAAUAAAAAGGAAUUAAGAUUUUAUACAUACUACAACAUGAUUAAAUAUGAAGAUAUUAAGAACAAUAUGACGGGAACAAUAUGUUAAGUGUCAGAAGCCACUCACAAAAAAUAACAUGUUGUAGAUUUUUUAUGUUAAAUGUAUAGAAUAGGCAAAUAUAUAGUGACAUAAAGCUCAUUGGGUUGCCUGGAGAAAACGAUGAGUGACCAAAGACUGACUGAGGAUGGGGAAAUGAGAGUGCUUCUUAUCAGGGUGAUAAAAAUAUUUUGAUUGUGAUAUUUGCACAACUCUCUAAAUAUAUUAAAUAAUUUAAAUGGGUUAAUUGAAUGAUUUAUAAUCAUGCCCCAAUAAAUCUGUUAAAAUAUUGUGAGUAGUUGUGCCUAUCUCAUAGAACUACUGGGAAAAUUAAUGUGAUUAUUCAUAUAAACUACUUAAUAUAUAAUACCUAGUACACAAUCAAUAGCUCUAUUGUUAAUAAUAACUUUAUUAUAUUAUUAUUGAUAGUGCUACUACUAUAAAUACUGCUACUACUAAUUCUUAAUUGUAUUAGUAGAACAAUUAUUAAAUAAAUAUUAUUAUAGUGGCAAUAACAACUAUUCUUAGAUUUAUUAAAUUAAUACUAAGUAUUACUAUUACUUAUUAAUGUUAUUAUUAAUGGUAGAAUUAUAAAAUUGUAAUAAUUAUUAUUGUUAAUUAUUUAACUGCCCAUAUUAGACUGAAUUUUUUUCUAGGAAAGAUUUUAUUCUAGGAGCUUUUUUUAUAGAUAAUGUGAUCAACCCUAGUAUAAUAUAAUAAAAAUAACAUAAACUUUGGAGUCAGACAGAUCGGAUUGAAAUCUCAUCUCUGUCACUUACUAAAAUAUGUAGCCUCCAUCCUGGGAGAAAAUCUUCACCCCCCACACAUCAAACACAGCACCAAUCUCCAGAAUAUAUAAAGAACUCAAAAAGCCAAACACCAAAAAACCAAAUAUUCCAAUCAACAAAUGUAGGCUCUCUAUUCACCUCACAGGUUGUUUCUUUUGCUGAGAAGAAAAUUUUUUGUUUGAGUCCAUCCCAUUUAUUGAUUUUUGAUUUUGAUUCUUGCGCUAUGGGAGUCUUCUUGGGGAAGUUGGGGCCUGGUCCAAUAUGAUGAAGAUUGUGGCCUGCUUUCUCUUCUAUUGGACACAGGGUCUCUGAUUUAAUUCCUGGGUUCCUGGUCCACUUUUAAUUGUGUUUUGUGCAUGAUGAGAGGUGAGGGUUUAAUUUCAAUUUGUUGCAUAUGGAGUUGGAGAAUAUAAUGCUAAAUAAAGUUAGCCAAUCCCCCCAAAAAACAAAUGCCGAAUGUUUUCUGUGAUAUAAAGGAGACUGAUUCAUAGUGGUUAGGGAGGGGGAGCAUGGGAGGAAUAGACAAACUCUAGAUAGAGCAAAGGGGUGGGAGGGGAAGGGAGGGGGUAGGGGGUUAGCAAUGAUGGUGGAAUAUGAUGUACAUCAUUAUCCAAAGUACAUUCAUAAAGACACAAAUCGGUGUGAAUAUACUUUAUAUACAACCAGAGAUAUGAAAAAUUGUGCUCUAUAUGUGUAAUAUUAAUUGUAAUACAUUCCAUUUGUCAUUUAUUUUAAAAAAAGAAAAAAAUAACAAAAAAUAAAAUAGGUAGCCUCAAGUAAUCUAUUUCAUGUUUCUGAGGCUAAGACUCCUUAUCUGCAAAUUGUCCAAUAAUAUGUACUAUUAAUUUGGGAUCUUAUGAGGAAAAAAUAAGAUGGUACAUGUGCAAAUGUUCACUGAAUUAUAUAGUACAUAGUACUUCCCUAGCAUAUAUACAUAGUACCUAGUACACACGUAUAAAAUUAUGAUCAUAGCAAUAAAUAUGAUAAAGUACCAUCAAACUUUUUUCAAGAUCCCAAUAGGACACAAGGCUAAGCAGUUCAUUCAAAGAUAAAUAAAUACAAAAAGAUUAAUAAAUACAUAGAAGAAUGGUUAACAAUUAUUUUAUUUAAGAGAAGAUCCUAAAUCAACUUGUUACAUUAUAAUAAAAUAUUUAGUAAACCUAUUAAUUUUCUUCAUUCUUAAAAACCCAAGAAAAGUACUACCAAGUUAGGAAAUUUAGAUAAAGUAAGAAAACCAGUUUCAGUCUCAGUCAUUAAUACUAUAGCCAACUCUUAGGAUAAAUUCUUGGACCAUAUUUUCCAAAGUUCUAAAUAAUACAUGUGUGGUACACUCUGGGAAAUAGAAUGACUUUCAGUUUGAAGUAGUCCAUGUUAAACUUAUGUGUUUUACCCUGAAUGAAUAGUUCUUUGGGAAAUAAUUCACUAACCCUAGAAUGUCUACAAGGGAGAAGAAAUGCUGCCAUAAACCAGUUCUAGUUCUAUGUGCCAAGAAAUAUGAAUGAGCUCAUGAUGCCCUCUUUCUUCCUCUCCAAACUCUCUAAAAUCUUGUUAUUCAAGAAUACAUGAGAGUAUCCAAGGAAUUUUUGAAAGUAAGAGGAUAUGAAUAGUGUAUAUUUAAAAAAAAAUCCCUUGUUAACAGCAUAACACACACAAUGCAUAUACCAAGUCAUGACUCCAGAUAAUGAAGUGAUCAUACAUUGCUUUUUAUCAACAAUAAUUCUGGUUUGACAUUUUAGCUCAAUUAGUUUAUGACCUACUUAGGAGUGUUUGUUAUAUAUCAACUUUAGAAGGAUUUGACUAAUUUUGCUGAACCAAAGUGACUCAAGGGUAUUAUAAGUUUCCAUUUUAGGAUUUGACAUAUUGAAGCAAAUGAUGAAGAAAUUGUGAUUUCAAAAAUUCUGUCUUUGACAAUUCUUAAUCACUUUCAAAUAAAUUUAGUAUUUGGGUUGAGGUUACCUAGCUAUGUCACUGUAUUUAGUAAAAGCCUGAGAACAUGGCACCUUUAAUAUUAUGAGGUCCUGCCACAAAAAAAAUAAAUAAAUAAAUAAAAUCAUUCUCUUUUUUUCAUCUCUGUUUUGGCAGUUAUCCUAUUGCAUUUCAAUUCUGCUUACAUACCUGUGUUUCUUAUCAGACUGAAAAUCCCUUAAGGUUAAGAAUCUCAGUUAAUUCCCAUCUACAGCUUCAGGAUCUAACAAAGUACUUGACACACAAUAAGAACUCAAUGAAGGGCUGGGCUUGUGACUCAGUGGUAGAACGCUUGCCUAGCAUAUGUGAGGCACUGGGUUUGAUUCUCAGCACUACAUAUAAAUAAAGAUCCAUUAACAACUAAAAAUAUAUUCAAAAAAGAACUCAAUAGAUGUUUUUAGAUAAGUAAAGUUUAAAAAAAGACAUAGAUUUUGUUGAAGAGCUAAUUUCUUAAUUUGGGGUUCAAUUAGUUUUUUGCCUUCUAAUAUUGACUAUUAGAUUAAAUGUUAUAUUCUGCUUUAUUCUCUUAUAGAGUUUUUUCAGAAGUUUCUUAGGAGAUAUAAUAUAAUUUUUAGUAAAAACUUACAAGCUGGGGAAAUUUAUAUCUGAUGAAGAUUAACAAUCCUUACACACGUAGAGACAGUUUAAGCCAGUACUACAAAACUCAGUUAUGAAAUAUGUAUUUGAAUAGCCUGUGAAAAUAAAAUAAAUUCUAAAAUUAGAAUAGAAAUGAAAGAAAGAAAGAGAACCUUUUAUACUAGAUCAAAUUCACCCAAAGGUGAACUAUUGGCUUUUUGAAACAUUUAAGGCAAUGAAUGCAAUUAUCUUUGACAGUUCUACUGGUCUUACUUUUUCUGAUAUGACUUAACUCCCCCCAGCCACAAACACAAGACUUCCUUUUGACUUAUAAGGAGAAAGUAAGUAGGAUUUAUAGGAUUUGUAUUAAUUUUCUACACAAUAGUGUCUGGAUUAUUUUAAGUCUUAAGAAAAAUUCCAUGAAGAAAAUGAUCAUUGUUUGUGAGAACAGGGCACAUUUUUAGAUUCACCUUAAUUAAAAUUAGACAGUUGAUCUCAAUUCUUUAAAUCCAUGUUUGCUCAUACCCUUUUCAAAGCUUCUAGAAGUGUGUUAAAGUUUGUAAAAACUGUAUUUUGGGCCAUAACAAAAACAAAUAUAUAAAGAGGAAUCUACCUAGUAUCAAUACAUUAAAAUAGGGCACCUGUCCCUAUGAUGUUUUAAGAGUUUAUUAUUAAAUGUGUAAUAUAAAUUAAUAUAUUGCAAUAAUGUUUUCUUAGAAAAUAUUAAAAUAUAUUCCUUCUCAACUUCUGAGAACAGAAUUAGCACUAGUAUGUUAAAGUGUUUUUUUUUUUUCUACAAAUUUGAACUAACCUCCAGCGAGGGAUAAUAAUUGGAAGAUAAAAGGACAAAAUUGGAUUUGUGUGUGUUGUACAUUGUUUUUUCUCUUUAUAUUUCAUAAAUUACCAUAGGCAGCUUUAGCUACACAGGCUUGCUAUGUGAAAACAAUGGUUUUUAGACUAUUUUGUUAUGAAUGUGUUUAUCAUCACAAAAUAUAUGGUUAUUUGGUUAACAUUAAUCUUGUUUCAGCAAUACAAUGUGAACACAAUUUAGUAACAACCAAACUGUCAUCACUAAGUCAGCAAAAAUGUAUGUAAAUUUCUAAAACUUGCAGAUGACUAAUGGAUUACACUAUAGGAGAAAGAAAGUUGAGAUGUUUAUUAUCCUCUAGAGACACAACAAAAAAUCUGAACUGAUGCCAACUCCAUGUACUAAACAAUAUGAAUUUAUACUGAAAAUUUUCGUUCACCGAAUUUUCUUUAGAAAUAUCCACAACUGAGAGCAGUAUAACCCUCAAGCAUCUAAACCAUUGUUGGAGACUCUAUUUUAUAAAACUACCUUGAACCUAGUAUUCAAAUAUUUUCUGCAGUAUUUCUCAUUUUGUAUGAAUUGGCUGCAUAAUUCUUAUCCAUGGGAAAAAAUGGAAUCAAGAAUGCUCUAGAGAAUCUAAUUUAUGUUUACUUUUGUUAUAUACUAUUGCCUAACAAAGUAUCUCUAAUUUAUUUGCCACUGGCAUUCACUUUAACUCAUAAUUUUUGCGUCAAGUAUUUGAGAACAGUUCAUUUCAGUAGUUUGCCUCUAAUCUAUGUGACACAAGCCAGGUUAGCUAGGACUGGGGGGAUCUACUUCUAAAAAACUUCUUCAUUCAUAUUUCUGGCACUUUGAAAGUGCUCCUUGGUCUUUCUCUUUCCACAUGGUGUCUUAUCUUCUAGGGUCUCUCCCUGGAGCUUGGGCUAUAAGUAGCAUUAUAGUUUCAGAGCAAACCAUGAAACUGGGAUAGAAGUUGCUAGUUUCUCUCAAUGUGAUCUCCAAAAUCUCAGAACAUCAAUUAUGCCAUACUUUACUGGUAAAGCAUAUUUCCAAAGCCAACCCAGAAUAAAAUGUGAGGGGGAGAUUAAGUCCGCAUUUAGAUGAUGUGAGUAGCAAAAACAUCUAGGACCAAUUUUAAUAUGCCACAUUGUUAUUUCAAUUAUUAAGUGCUAGGAUUUGGGAAACCAAAACUUGAUAGUAUGCUUAAUGACAAUUUGAAUUGGACUACUGUACUUUUUGGGAAGUUCUAAUUUUAGUUAUAGUUUGAGGAUAUCUGAAACUAAAUGUUGCUUGACAAACUUUAGAUGCAGAAAGAAAACAACUUCUAGAAGUUUUUAUUACCUCAUGGAAUUCUGAAAGUUCCCCAUAGAGAUGUCCAAUAGCCCCAGUUAUCUUUCUCUAUUUCUUUUUUAUAUCUAUAGUUUUAUAAACUCUCAUCAUUCUGUCUGCAGAUCUCCCACUGAGGCUGAGGAUCUCUCUGAGAUUUAUAGCACUCUUAAUGUCACCUUACAAUUGAGGUAUAUGAGCACCUCACAAAAUGAUUCCCCAUUGUGAAUAUAUGGUGUUAAUAAAUUUGCAGAAAAGUUAAACUCACUUAUAAUUAACUAGUCAUAUGCUCAUUGAAACCAUGAAGAUCUUGAAUGAAAACAUGAGAAGUUUUCUAUCUUUCUGUCAAUAAAGUUAUCUCUAAAUUAUAUUACCAACUAAAAACUGAAAAGUUUAGCCUUACAUUUAAUGUAAUGUGGCAGUCAAUUACCUUAGUGAUUUUAAAGGAUGGCACUGUCAAUAGGAUAUUUUGGCAUAUAUGCCUAUGUUGGACUACUUGUUCAUAUAAAGCUUUAUAAAAUAUACACCAUAAUAGGUGCCCUGAAUAGCAUAUAUAGGUGUUGCACCAAGUGAAUUGAAUGAAACAUAUCCAUUAGAAAGGUCCCUCUCACUACUGUGUACCAGUACUUGUCAAAUUUUUCUGUUGAAAUGUGAAUAAUGGUAGAACAGAAUGGAAAGAUAUCUCCACUGAGGCCACAAACAUGAAAUGUACCUAUAAUUUUUAGGUGAAUUUUGUUUUCAUUCCUUAAUAUAUAAAUUUUGAAAUAAAACAACUUUUCCACUAGAAUCUCCAUGUAAACUGAUGAUACAAGAUCAUUAAAUAGCUUUAUGUAAUCCCUAACAAACUAUAGAGUACCAUAGAGAUAUUUUUAUCCCAGUUUGAAAUGGAGAAGUGUAAGUAAAAAUUAUUGGAGGGUAAGGAUAUAAGAAUAUCUGAAUCUGAAUCUUACAAAAUAUAAUGCCUCCAAAAUAAGACAGGGAAUGUGGAAAGAGCCAUAGUCAAUAGUUCAACAUUAUUUACAAAACAGUCACCACUUCCACAGGUUAUAUUUGACAACAUGUUUAUUAUUUUCUCCUCUUUUAGUUUUAACCUAUUUAACUUUGGUCCUCCUCAAAUUGAUACUCUAUAUUUAGAAAGUACUGUGCUACAUUUCAUUUUAGAACAGUGAGCAAACACUUUGGAAUGUAAUUUUCUCUCUCUUAUUUCCAAGAUAGAUAUAAAAUUGUAUUGAAAAGAUCAAAAGUUGAGCCUAAAAAUUCCAAAGUGAAUGAAAUAUUAUAGUCAAUUCAUCCUACUUGACUAUAUAUAUAAUUGGUGGUUACCACUAUGAUCACAAUUUUUUUAAAAUCAUGUACCCAAUGUAUGUCUAAUAUACUUUUUGCCUGUACACUCAAUUUUUUUGAGAUUCUUUUGGUUAGAAUUGAAGAAAUUGAGGAUUGUGGGGUGAAAUCCACAAGAGAUGAAAGCUCACAAAUGUUAAAGAACAGGGUUUAGAUUAAAGGCCACAGCUUAAAAGAGAUGCUAGCAGGCUUCUGAGUAACAAGCUUAUAGUACUCAAACUCACAAGGACUAGUGGCAGCACACUCAAAAUUGGCUCAAAUUCUCAUGUCCUUAUUCAAGUUUGUAAAAAGACAGUAGCGUUCAUAUAUCAACUAGUUACUUUUCCCCCCAACAUCAUAUGAAUCAUAAAUAUUCAGGAUCCCAAUCUAAAUUUUUUGUUAAAUAGCAUUGGAUUGUGUCAUUGGAAAUAAUAUUAUCAAAUCCUUUUAAAGGCAGUACUGAAGGGCUGUGUUUUAUAUUAAGAUGUGCUUGGCCUCCAGGAGUUAAUUCUCUCCAAAUAAAAUGUUUUGGCUGACAUGUAUGAAAAAUUUUCUUCACCAAUCACCACUGGAAGACAGCAUGAAUCCAUCAAUCACAGAGUUAAAAAGCUCUGUCAUAUAGCACAUUUAAUACCCAGCAUAACAAAUUAGUAUUACCAUUCCUUGAUGCAAUACAAAUUCAUUUCCUUAAACUGCUAACUCCAGGGUUAUAAAUGAGCAGAAAGCAAAUUGAUUUGCAUGUAAUAACAGUGGCAAUAAACCUUUCCUGGUUCAUGCAAUUUUCCCCAUCUGUUAAUAGAGAGCAAGUUUAGGAUCUAUUAUUCCCAGAAGGAGACUUACCCAGCUGGACAUCUAUAACACUUGGCUGAUUCUCCAUGGGGAACAAUGGCUUGGGAGGCUUGUCUGUGAGUAAAGCUAGAAGAGAAAAUGAAAGAAAGUAAUGGAAAAAUUGAGAUAAAUUAUAGAAUAGGAAAGAUUAUAUCAUUGUAUGAUAUUUAAUGUUUGUAGACUUGAUGGUAUGUAAACAUUUAUUAGUGUUCUUAUUUGGGUUGCUACUCUAUCCAUACAAUAUCCAUAUCCCAGCACAUUUAAAACACUGAUGAUUCACUUUAAAUAGGCCAUUUCAACAUCUAAAUCUUCCAACAAGAUAAAAAAUGGACUAUUUUUCUGUUUUUAAAAGCUUGUGUAAAAAUUAGAGAUUUAAAGAAUAUAAUCAGAGAAACAUUAAAUCCUUAUAUCUGCUUUGUAGCACUAUUCUAAAUGAAAUAUAACCCUAGUAGACAUUUCUGGGGGCAUGAAACUUUUAAGACUCUAAAUCAUCUCCCAUUCUCCAUCUCAAAUUCUAGAAUAUAAUAAAGCACUGGUACCUUCAUUAGUAAUUGAUUAAAAAAUAUUAAUUUGUGUACCAAGUCCUGUGCUAGGUGUUAAGGGAGAGAAGGUAAAGUCUUUUUUAGGGCCUUCAAUUUAUAACAUACUAGCACAUGAAAAUAAAGAGAGAAUUGAAAACAGAAUAUAAUCUUAUGGAAGAUGCAGCAUUUGAGGUAUAAGAAUAUAUGUUUGUGUGUGUGUGUGUGUGUGUGUGUGCGCGUGCACACAUGCACGUGUGUAUAGCAAAGGAAUACAGAGGAGUCAAUAUUGGUUAUUAUGAUGAUUGGGAACAUUUUAUAAAGGAAAUUGGAUCUCCCUAUGAGCCUUAAGGGAUGGAGAAGAUCUGGAAAAGCAGAGAGUAAGGAAAAAGAAAUUCAGGAAAGUUUAACAUAAACCAAGGGACAAAGGUAGAAUUUAGCAAGCAUAAUAUGCUUAGAGGAGAAUGGUCUGGUGAAAAGGGGUUGGAUGGGAUACGUUUGGGUGGAGAAUUAGUUGGUCUUAAUGUAUGCAUCAAAAUUUGGAAAUAAAAUUUGAUAGAUAGGAUGAGGCUCAGUUCUAGAGGACUGCAGGGAAGAGGCACAGGAAUUUGGACCUGAUGUCGCAGGCUACAGUACCAUUUCAGAUUCUUUGGACAAAAGAAUGACUAAUAUGAAGUGUUAUCUAAUGAUGAUUGGCUUGAAAUAUGGGAUGGCUAGAGAACAAAAGUAGCUAAGAGUAUACGAAAGAAAUUAAAGGCAUAAAAAUAGGAAAAGAAGAACUUAAAUUAACACUAUUUGCGGGAGACAUGAUUCUAUACCUAGAAGACCCAAAAGGGUCUACAAAAAAACUACUAGAACUAAUAAAUGAAUUCAGCAGAGUGGCAGGAUAUAAAAUCAACAUGCAUAAAUCAAAGGUAUUUCUGUAUAUCAGCAACAAAACUUCUGAAAUGGAAAUGAGGAAAAACACCCCAUUCACAAUAUCGUCAAAAUAAUAAAAUACUUGGGAAUCAACCUAACAAAAGAGGUGAAAGAUUUAUACAAUGAAAACUACAGAACCCUAAAGAGAGAAAUAGAAGAAGAUCUUAGAAGAUGGAAAAAUAUACCCUGUUCAUGGAUAGGCAGAACUAACAUCAUCAAAAUGGUGAUAUUACCCAAAGUUCUCUAUAGGUUUAAUGCAAUGCCAAUCAAAAUCCCAAUGGCAUUUCUUGUAGAAAUAGAGAAAGCAAUCAUGAAAUUCAUAUGGAAAAAUAAAAGACCCAGAAUAGCAAAAGCAACUCUAAGCAGGAAGUGUGAAUCAGGCGGCAUAGCNGACCCAGCUAUUGCCCUUCUCGGACUAUUCCCUGAAGACCUUAGAAGAGCAUACUAUAGGGAUACUGCUACAUCAAUAUUCAUAGCAGCACAAUUCACAAUAGCUAGACUAUGGAACCAACCUAGAUGCCCUUCAAUAGAUGAAUGGAUAAAAAAAUGUGGCAUUUAUACACAAUGGAGUAUUACUCUGCACUAAAAAAUGACAAAAUCAUGGAAUUUGCAUGGAAAUGGAUGGCAUUAGAGCAGAUUAUGCUAAGUGAAGCUAGCCAAUCCCUAAAAAACAAAUGCCAAAUGUCUUCUUUGAUAUAAUGAGAGCAACUAAGAACAGAGCAGGGAGGAAGAGCAGGAGGAAAAGAUUAACAUUAAACAGAGACAUGAGGUGGGAGGGAAAGGGAGAGAAAAGGGAAAUUGCAUGGAAAUGGAAGGAGACCCUCAUUGUUAUACAAAAUUACAUAUAAAAGGUUGUGAGGGGAAUGGGAAAAAAAACAAGGAGAGAAAUGAAUUACAGUAGAUGGGGUAGAGAGAGAAGAUGGGAGGGGAGGGGAGGGGGGAUAGUAUAGGAUAGGAAAGGUAGCAGAAUACAACAGUUACUAAUAUGGCAUUAUGUUAACCGAUGCGAUUCUGCAAUCUGUAUUUGGGGAGUUCAUAACCCACUUGAAUCUAAUGUAUGAAAUAUGAUAUGUCAAGAGCUUUGUAAUGUUUUGAACAACCAAUAAAAAAAUGUUUUCAGGGCUGGGGUUGUGGCUCAGUGAUAGAGUGCUCAUCUAGCACAUGUGAGGCCCUGGGUUCGAUCCUCAGAACCACAUAAAAAUAAAUAAAAUAAAGGUAUUGUGUUCAACUACUUCUAAAAAAUAAAUUUAAAAAAAUGUUUUGGUUAUGAAAGAGCUAGGAGUCAGAGCAUGGUAAAAUCUGGGAAAAUGAAAAAAGGAAAGAUCAAAUCAGAGUGAUACCUGGAAAAAAGAAAUGAGAGGAACUGGCAUACAAUGUCAUAUGUAUUCAUAUAAAACUAUUAUUAAUAGCCUGAAUUCCUUUUAAUUGUUCUUAUAUUUAUGCCUUGCUUCAACUAUCCAACUGAACUCUUACCUAAUAAAACAAAAUGUUUUAUCCUGCUUUAUAAUUCACAGGCGGCUUAGUGUAGGAUUGGUCUAUAAAAGAUAAUCAUUAUACCAUCAUUAAUUGACUGGCUUAGGAAUCCCCUGUGAACAUAAGAGAAGUUUUUCUUAUAUUUGUGAGGAUGUUUAGAAGAAACAGAGAAAAAUGAGAGUUGAUCACAGAAGGGUAAGUUUAAGAAACAUAUAAAUCUGGAGAGAUUUCCAAAAAUAGCUUAUAACAAACAAAUGCACCAGGAAUAUUUUGAAUGGUAUUUACAUAAUAACACAUUUUUCUUCCUAUAAUCUAAAUUAUUUGAGGGGAUGUGGCUCCAGCGGUAACGCGCUCACCUGGCAUGCAUGGGGCACUAGUUUCCAGCCUCAGCACCAUAUAAAAUAAAAUAAAGAUGUUGUGUACACCAAAAACUGAAAAAUAAAUAUUAAAAAAUUCUCUCUCUCUCUCUCUCUCUCUCUCUCUCUCUCUCUCUCUCUCUCUCUUUCUCUCUCUCUCUCUUUAAAAAAAAUAAAAAACAAAUAAAUUACUUUAACUGGGAAAAUUGUGGUGAAUUAAUUGUUCUCAUGUUCCAACAAAUCUUUACCGAUGUCCAGCAACAUGUAUUAUGCUUACAGAAUUCAAUGACAUAUUUGAAUUAAGCUGAUUUGAGCAUAAUUUAGACAGAUCUAUAAGCAAAAUACUAGGUUUCAUUAUAUAUGAAAUAAUCUUAAUAAUAUGACCUUAAAUAUUAUUUGAAAUAUAAGGAAUAAGUAAAAUUUAAAUAUUUGAAUUAAAAAUCCAUUCACAUCAGAUGUUCAAUUUUUUUGCUAUUGUUUGUUAAUGUUGGUAAUAAAAAAUAUUUGAAACAACUUAUAUAUCCAUCAGUAGGAGAAUGGUUAUAUAAAACUGUUGUAAUUUCAUAUACUGAAAUAUUAAGAUACAGCUUUUUAAAAGAAUUAGGUACAUCUGUACAUCUGUCAUGAAAAUAUCUAUAAGAUAUACUGUUUAAUGAAAAGCAAGAUUCCAAAUAGCUGGCAUAUAUAAGCUUAUUUGUGUAAGCAUGGGAGUUUCCUAGAGAAAAACAUAUGUAAUUGAUAAUAGUGUUUUCCUCUGGGGAUAACUGAUGGUUGAGGAAUAGUGGGAAGAGAAAGACAGUGUGGGCAGAUAGCAGGAAGAUAAAAUCUUCACUAUAUACAUUUUGAACAGUAUACAGUGCUAUAUUUAAAAUAUGAUUAAAAUUAAAUAAAUUAUAGCCAUUUUAUCUUUUAUUUAUAAAAAUGUAAUUUUGGUUUCUUUAUGGAAUUAUCAUCAGCUUGCCUUACACAUCCAAAUUAUAGACAUUUACCCUGCUGUAAACUGUUCUUCAUAUUUUAAGUAUGUCUUGCUACCAAAUGAACUAACUGGAAUGUGAAUAAGUGGAAAGUAACUAUAAGUAAUAUUUGUUGUAUAGAAGUGCUGAUCUUGUUCUAUUUUCAGGAAGAUAUGAAUUUGGGGUCUUUAUUACCUUAUCUCCCACCUUUAACUAUGGAUAUACUAACCCUGAUUUUAUUAUUGUUAAAUGUUAUUAUUGAAGUGAUAUUUAUUAAUAUUAAAAUUUAUUUGAAGUAAUGUUAUAAUUUUGAUAUGAAGUGUUUUUCUAAAGCUCCUGUUGCCAGAAUAUUCAGAGGUGAAAUAAUUGGAUUAUGAGAACUGUAACCUAAUCAGGUCACCUAGUUUGAAAUGUAGGUAGAUGGGUUGUAGCUAGAGGAAGUGGGUCACUGGGAGUAUUCCUGGAAGGGUAUAUCUUCCCUGUGGUCCCUUCACAUCUCCCCUACUUCUUGACCCCAUCAUUAUCUGAGCUGCUUUCCUCUGCUGGGCCAUUUCUCCAUGAUGUGCUGCCUUAUCUUGGGCCCAGAGCAAUGGAGUCAGCCAUCUAUGGACUGAGACCUCUGAAACCAUGAGCCUCAAAUGAACUUUCCUUCCUCUAAGUUGUUCUUGUCAGGUAUUUUGGUCACAGUAGUGCAAAAGCUGACUAAAACAAGUGCCUUAAAUUUGAAGGUGGUUUAAAUGUUCAAAGUGCUUUUGAAUUCAUUAGCUUAUGUGACUUAUGCAGUUACCUUGAAAUAUAAAGAAGAAAGUUAAUGUUUUGGGCAAUACAGAGAUGACACUAAUUGACCUUACAUUGUCCUAUUUGGUGUCCCCUUGUGACUGAAAGCCCCUAUUUGCAGGAUGGAUACAGAUAUACGUUUUAGGUAGAAGUCAAGUAAAAUAAUGAGUACUGAAAUCAGUAGUUUUAACCUCUUUGAUUCCACACUAAUUAACUGAGCUAAGUUUCAAAAGCCAAUGUGAGUGGCUCCAUGGUAAAUAUCCAGUUGAAACAUGAUUUCUGUAGGACACUUGACAUGCAUAUACGUUUUAUUCCUAAACCCAUGAAUAGAAUGGAAAAAUUUUUCACUUACCCCAAUGCAUUCUAAUGGGAUGCAUGGGUGUGGAGCCUUAUUAAAUUCCAAUAUUAUGUUUAGGCCUGGAAAUUGCCAAGAAGUGCAGAAUAUUUAUGAUGAUAAACCAGCAACUGUAGCAGUUCAAUGGGAUCCUGACUACCAGCCCAGAGACAAAUGUAUUAGCACCCCAUAUAAUUACAAUAUUUGCAGAUUAGCUGGAGCAAAUGCUGUCAUGGACAGGCAAACUUGAUUUCUUAUAUUUUUAAAAAUUCUCAUCUGAAACUUAUAGUUACUAUGGGAUAAAGGAAGUGGGGGGUCUCAAUACCAAACCCCCUGAAUGAUAGGGCAGAGAUUUACAAUUUUAUUAGGAAACUUAUCCCAGACUUUGAAAGGAACUAAUUGGGAUCUGAGCGAGACCCCAGUGGAAAUUUGUUGCUUAAGCUUCAUGUUUUGAUUGAAAGAAUGGGAACAUGGGAUGCUCUUUGUUACUAAUAUUUCAGUCUACAAUCCCUCCCCUGUAGUUCUUUCUGUAGCUGCUUAUUGUUUAAUUAUCCUUAAAUAUAAUUGUUCUACUGAGUAUACCAUGAUGCUAAUCAAUGUGCUAUUGAAGCUACUAUGGUUACUGCCAGCCUAUUCCUAAAGGUAGAUUUUAAAUAUUUAACACUAAUAUUCCCUGAGAAGAAUGUCCAAUUUAACGUUUUCUUUUCUGUUUCAGGCAAUGGUUUGUGUCUACAUGUAUAAACAAAUCAAUUAAUGCGAUUGAAAUGAAUUUUUAGUUUCCAUGAAUGUAGUGUAAAAAAUCAGUAGAAUUAUUUAUUGGAUUGAAUAAAUAAUGUUACACAAGUUUUGUAUAUUGUUGUUAUAAUUUUUGUUGCUCCCUUUUGUUGUUUACUUGUUUAUUUUUGGUACCAGAGAUUGAACUCAGGGGCACUAGACCACUGAGCCCCAGCCCCAGCCCUAUUUUGUAUUUUUAUUUAGAGACAGGUUCUCACUGAGUUGCUUAGCACCUCGCUUUUGUUGAGGCUGCUUUGAACUCAUGAUCCUCUUGACUCAGCCUCCCAAGCUGCUGGGAUUACCAGCAUGGUGCACGGCUUAUUUAUUUAUAUUUGCCAGAAAGACCAAGUGGGGGAAUAUGAAAGGUCGGUGACUCAUUAAUUUCAGUGAAUAAAGCCAUUUUUGAAUUUGUAUAUUAAGGUUAAUGAAAUAUAUCUUCUAAAAUAUAUUCAAAACACUAUUUGAAAUCACAUUUCAAAAUCAGUGUUUUCUCACAACAUUUCACCACUCAAACUUACCACUGUCUCCUAUGUAUAACAGAGGAUAAAAUAUGAAUUUAUCAACUAGGAACAUAAAAGCAACCGCAAAAUAAUCUUUAAAACUUUCCUGCCUUUUCACCCACCUUUUAUUUUAUCAGUGCUAUAACCAAGUUACUUUGCACAUUUUCCUUAUUAACAUGUUGCGUUAAUUUCCAAAUCUGCAUCUUGGCUUAAACUCUUCUUCCAAGUUUGGAAACAAAUAGUAAUAGCUACCACAUUUAUCAUUUAUUAUUUACCAUUGCUAGGCACUGUUGUAAGUUAUAUUACAUUUUACAAAUAAUUUGUUCAAAGUCAAGUAACAUUUGAAUCAUAAAGUAGGAAUCUGAAUUGAGUUCUAUCUAAUGUCACCAUGUACUCAAUGCUCUGAGACCUCCCCUUUCUUUUUUGCCAUCAUAAGACCUAUACAGUCUCUAAAAAGCCUUCUAUAAUAACAUCCUAAACUAAUAUUUUCAAUCUCUGAAAUCCUAAAUCAUUUACUAGUAUUUGACCCACUUAUUUGGUUCAUAGCAUACACCACUGUUAGUACAAAUUAAUCCUCACUGUACAUGGGUAUGUCUAAUUUUCCCAAGUAGAUUUUAAGCUCCUGGAGGACAAGGGCCAUGCCUCAUAUAACUCAGGAAAUAUAAUAGUGCCUGGCAUUGUGGAACAAAUAAACACAAUCUCCAAAUUAAUUUUCCCAUUAUAUUCUUUCUCUAAAAACAAGUGCUUCCAGUAGAAUUCUUAGAUUGCAAUGAACAAAUAAAAUUUGCUAAUUAAAACAAAAAGAGAACUUAUCGGAAUGAUAUCUCAAAGAUGGCCAGAAAGUCUGUAAGAACUAGGUUUAGGAACAGAAAAUAAACUAGGCCACAUUUAGAUGUACAAUCAAAAGAGACUACACAAUGAUCUCAUCUUGACCCUAUUAUUUGAUUAAACUUGUUUUGAUUUUCUUAAAUGUGUUUUCUAUUUAUUCUAGCUUAAAAUUUUAUUUGGAAAUUACAGAUUUUAUUAAAAAACAAAUAUUUAUCCAGGAUGAAUUUUUAUUUAAGUUUUCCCCUAAGAACUCUUUAAUUUACUUUUUAUUAUAAAAAUUAACUCAUAUUGAUUGUACAGAUUUGUGAGUUUCAUUGUAAUACUUCCAUACAUGGAUGUAUUGCACUUCAAUCACAUCAACCCUCUUUACUACCCUUUUUUCCCUCCCUUCUCUUCUUCCUCCUGUCUGUUUCUUUCCCCCUCCCUAAUAUAGUACCCUCUUCUACUUCCAGGUCAUCUUUUUUUUCCAGACAUAUAUCUGAAAUAUAGUUCUUUUUUUGUUGUUUCUAAAUAUGAGAGAAAACAUGUGAUACUUGUUUUUCUAUGUUUGGUUUAUUUUGCUUGUCAUGAUGAUCUCUAGUUGCAUCCAUUUUCCUGCAAAUGCCAUGAUUUCAUUCCUUUUUAUGACUGAAUUUAAAUUUUUUUGUCCUUAUGUCACUUUGAUCAAGAUUCAAAUCCCCAGGAAAAUCAGGCUGAGUAGAUAAAUUUGAGAUCUGGCCUUAGUCAAAAUUGUAUGCAUAUCAUGAGGAGAAGAAUCCCAUAAAAGCCAGUUUUCUCAACCUCAGCAUUAUUAACACUAUUAGAUAAUUUUUUAUCAUGGAUGACAGUAGUCCUGUGAAUUGUUGGAUAUGUAGCAGCAUCCCUAUCCACUACCCAAGUAAACUCCAAUAAUUCCCUGCCCACCUUGUAAGAACGGAAUAUUGAGCGUUGGUCAAUGAUCCCAAGGAAUAAAGCCAUUCCUGAUUGAGAACCACUGCCCUAAAGGAAAUUUAAACUGCUGUUGGAAAAGAAAUGAAUACUAGAUAGUCAACAAUAACAGGCAAUUGCACCUCUUUACUCAACUCCAGGGUCGGGUUAUACUAAUUUCUAUGUAAAUUACAUUCCUUGGGGCACAUAGUAUUAAUAGGAGGUCUUGGAGUUGUGCAAAUAGAUGGCCUUGACACAGAUUCACUAUUCUAGGCAUUGUGUUUUAUUGAUUUAAACAAUGAUUUUGUUAUGCCAAAUACCUGGCAAAUUCUGAAAUAGUCACUGGCAUUUGUCAAUUGGUAGCAGCUGUUUACUGGGAUAUUGCUCCUUCCAAAUCACCUAGACUCACAAACUAACUCUGAAAAUGGAUAACAGCAGCCCUGUGGCACUGCCCCAAAGUGCCCAGGUGCACAGUUAUUAGUGAUUUCCUGAUGUUCUGAGGGAAUUGAGGGUCUUGGAAAGAAAACUUGGAAAUAACCUCCAUGUAGGAAAACAUAAGAAGGUUCUUACUAAGCAAAUUAGAUUUAGGGGAAGCCUUAAAAGUUUUCUGUAAUCAUGAAAGUAGAUUUGCCAAUACUAACUCAAGCAGAUGAUUAAUUUGAAGAACAGAAAGAAUCCAGAAAUUGCUAAGUUCUGAACAUAUCUUAAGCAUUAUUAUCUUUUGAAAUACUUUGCAUUUUCUUAUAUUAUUACCUAAUUGCAUGAGGCAUUCAAGGAAUAUCUCCUUCUGAAUUAACUACAUAGAUUUCUUAAUUCUAAAUUAUGGAGUAUAUAUUUUACUGGAAAGUUAAUGUAAGGUCUCAUAUGUUUAAACUAUUUUAAUUUAUAGGUUUACUAGGCUGAGUCCCCUAAUUUAAGUGACUAUUCAAGAAAAAAAUACAUAAUUCCCAUAACUGUUCAAUAUCAUCCUUAAUCUUACAAAACAAUAACUCCAAACAGGAUCAGUCUUGGGUACAAAGUGUCUCCUAUACCCUAUGCUCCUUCAUUUUGUGUUCCCUACUUCAGAGAAUUUUCUCCUGCAGUAUGCUUUUAGGCACUCAGGGUUGUAUUGACUCUCAUCAAAACCAGUUGCAAAGAAGCCUUUAGGAAUUUAAGACACUGUACUUCUUCCCAUAAGGUGUUUUUGAAGGCUUGUCUCUAAAUGUGGAAUGGAACACUUUAUUCUUUUGGGUGAGUUAAUCAGCAAUAACACAUUGGACCCCAAGGCCCUUCUCUGAACUUUUAUCUUCACAUUAAUGUUGGCCAAUAAACACAGUGUACUUUAGCAGAAGUCUAUGAGGACAGAUACAAUUAUUUUUUCCCUCAAGAUUCCAACCAGCAUUAUUAUGAGAGAUUCCUUCACUAUGAAAUUAUUUUGGAAAGAGAGCCCAAACAUAUUUUAUUUAUUUUUUUUUACUAUCCUAUGUGCAUAUAUUUUUUAAUGCUAUUUUAUUUUAUUUUUUAUUGGUUGUUCAAAACAUUACAAAGCUCUUGACAUAUCAUAUUUCAUACAUUAGAUUCAAUUGGGUUAUGAACUCCCAUUUUUACCCCAAAUACAGAUUGCAGAAUCACAUUGUUUACACAUCCACAUUUUUACAUAAUGCCAUAUUAGUAACUGUUGUAUUCUGCUACCUUUCCUAAACAUAUUUUAAAUAGACCAACAAAUGCCUAUUAAAAGUCAAGUUUUGUUUUCACUUUGGCUUUUUAUUACCUUCAUCAACUGCCUACUGUAGCAAUUAGUUUUAUAUAAUUAUUUUCUCUGCCUAAAUUCUAAUAUUCUCUUAUAUUUGGAAUAGGACACAGAAUGACAUGGACUUUUUUUUUCCUUUUGUACCAUGGAUUGAAUCCAGGGAUGCUUAAUCACUGAGCUAUACACCCAAUCCUUUUUAUUUUUAUUGUGAGACAGGGUCACACUAGGUUGCUUAUGGUCUUGCUAAUUUGUUGAGCCUGGCCACAAACUGUAGAUCCUCCUUCCUCAGCCUCCCAGGCUGCUUGGAUUACAGGUGAGCACCAAUGUGCCUGGCACAUCAGCCAUUUAUUAAAACUAUCUAGAAAAUGAUGUAUUCUCCAGGUGUCCCAGUUAUAAUAGCAAGGUCAUGAUGAAUUAGGGGAAAAAUUGUCAAUAAUUCUCAGAAAAAUUUGGAGAUUAUUUUUCAAAGCCUUGAUCCUUUAACCUUCAGAUAUUUUAAUAUUUAUCUCCUGCAUGCCCCAUUAAUAAGAAUUCCCUUUAUUAAAUAAUUGUUACUGAUGAUAAUGGUUCAGGUGCUUUAUACAGCUAUUUGGAAGAUAAAAUUAUUGAGAACCACUAAAAGUCAAACAGGAGGUCAUAAUCAGGGGAUUAAAUUGCUUUGAAAACACACAUUCUACUUGCUCUACAAAUACUCCUGCCAUCAUCUAAAGCAAUUGCAAGUAUAUGUCUUUUUUUAGCCUAGAACUUAAAGUCAGUUACUGUCUUUGAAUAAAUAAGUGAUCCUUUAACAGACAGAUGCUGUUUCUGGAAACACUGGGCAAUCUACCUGACUGUUGCCCCUGCACAGCUCAGGGCCUCCCUACCAACUGGCUCAGAGCUUGUGCUCUGAUUUGUAAUUCAGUGGAUGUGCCCUGAGGGUGGUGAAUGGUCAUGGAUACUGUGAACUUGCCCUGAGAUGCCCUUUUCUCUGAAUACCAUAUUUAUUUUUACUAAUAUUUGAGUUUUGAGCAAUGCAUAAGCUUUGGGAAAGCUUUCACAAAGGCAGGGUGAUUUCUUCUCAAUGCCAUUUGACACAGGGCCCUUCUCUGGAGAGCAGAAUGUUUACCCAGCACAAAUCGGCCCAGGCAUAAAGCAACUUCUUCAAACUUGAAAAGAAAACAACCUUGGGGAAAAUGGAAGCUUAAAGAAAGGUUAUGAUCAUAGUUUUCCCCUCUUUUUCUUCACAGUGAUUUUCUUUCUACUCUUACCUUUUUGCUCUUUCAAGUAAUUUGCCUCCUUUCUCUAAAAUAGUACUCCCAGGAUCCUUAUGUUGGUGAUGUCAAAUUCCAUAUGUGGUUACUAUCAAAUAAAGAUACUACCGGCUUCCACACAGUAUUUGAGAUGCAGUUAACAUUAAAAUAAAUUAGAGGUUAAAUAUAGGAUAAAGGUCAAUUUUACCUUGCAUCAGGAUCAUCAUUUGGCUCUCUUGUUAUUGAUAUAUUACAUUUUAGAAAUUUGGCCUUGAUAGUGAUGCCUAAGAAAACAGGAAGUUGAAUACACAAGGAUGAAUGGUUUGGGGCUAGAUAAUCCUUUAUAGGUUUUAUUCUUCUAGUUAUUUUGACAGAAGAAGAAAAUGAAAAACAGAAAAGAAAGGAUGCAUUCAAUAUCAUAUAGCAAAUUAGCGAUAAAUCAAAAGAAUAAAACCAAAGUUUCUUGAAGUCAAGAUACUCUUCUUUAUUCUUAAGGGAUUAAGUAAAGUUUUAAUUAUGCAUAGGGUUAAAAGGAUUCCUAAUGAAUAAAUACCUCACAUCAAGAAAAACAUCACAUGGGUAGGAAGUAGGCUGAUUUUUAAAAAAAAUAUUUUUUUUAGUUGUAGAUGGACACAGCACCUUUAUUUUAUUUAUUUAUUUUUAUAUGGUGCUGAAGAUCAAACCCAGUGCCUUACACAUGCCAGGUAAGUGCUCUACCACUGAGCCACAACCCCUAGGCUUAUAUUUUUAAGAAGGUGCUGAAGAUAAAGCAGACAUUGAUAAUCUUUAGAACAUUAGUUCUAUGUUAAGGCCCAGUAUUCUUCUCACUGUACCAUGGCUAAUCUUGACCUAUUAGGAUCCAAGUUUUCAAUUCUGUGAACCUAACAGAUAUUCAAAUAUUAUUUCAAAGUCGUAUAUUAUGUGCUCCAUUUAAGUUUUUAUAGCUGUUCCACAUCUGGGAUGAUUCAACAAAAUGGUUUAAGCACACAUUUUAUGCCAGACACUUUUACACUAAUUUUCUCAUUAAAUUCUCACAAGGAUGUAUAACAUGGCUUCUAUUAUCAACAUUUGACAAGUGAGAAAAUUGAUGCUUACAUCAAAUAAUUAGCUCAAAGUCAUAUUGAUGAUGAAUAUACUAUGGGUCCAGGAUUCAACCUUAAUCUAUCACACCUUUGAGAUCUUAUAUUAUUUCUUUUUAAAAUUCAAAAUAGAUCCUAUGUUUCUAUACAAGUGUUACCAAAAUAAAAAAGAAAAGGAGUGGGUUGCUGGGCCUGACCUGCCGGUGGGUCGCAGGUCCACCUACCUUGCAGGCGAGUAACUAAGAACAGAGUUGGGAGGAAGAGCAUGAGAAGAAGAUUAACAUUAAACAGGGAUGAGAGGUGGGAGGGAAAGGGAGAGAGAAGGGAAAUUGCAUGGAAAUGGAAGGAGACCCUCAGGGUUAUACAAAAUUACAUACAAGAGGAAGUGAGGGGAAAGGGGAAAAAAAAACAAGGGGGAGAAAUGAAUUACAGUAGAUGGGGUAGAGAGAGAAGAUGGGAGGGGAGGGGAGGGGGGAUAGUAGAGGAUAGGAAAGGCAGCAGAAUACAACAGACACUAGUAUGGCAAUAUGUAAAUCAGUGGAUGUGUAAAUGAUGUGAUGCUGCAAUCUGUAUACGGGGUAAAAAUGGGAGUUCAUAACCCACUUGAAUCAAAGUGUGAAAUAUGAUAUAUCAAGAACUAUGUAAUGUUUUGAACAACCAACAAUAAAAAUUAAAAAAAAUAAAAAUAAAAAAGAAAAGGAACUAUAUAACAAAAUUGAUGAGGUUGAGCGUGAAUUGAUUAAAUAGUUGUAGCUGUGUCUACAUAAUUCUAUGGGUCAGAAUGGAAUGAAAAUUCAAUUCAUUCUUUCACUCAGUUAAUACAUGUUUAUAUUCCUAUUAUAGAUAUUAUAGAAAAGUGUUCUGCCAAAUAGUGUGUGUAAUCCAGUGUGAAGUAUAGAUCUGAAGAAUAUAUAGAAUAUCAAAAGGGUUAGUCUUGUAGCACAAACAGAUAUACACACAUGGAUAUAGUAAAUAACAAAGUAGCAAUUACUUCUUUUAGUUUUUAUUAUUACUAUAACAACUUCCCCAGGAACUUAGGUUAAAUUGACAUUUUAUUAUUAAUUACAGUUUGGAGGAGAAAAAUAUGAUGUGGGUCUUUCUAGGUUAAAAUUUAGGAUGUGUUCAGGUCUGUGUACUGUUCUGAAGGCUCCAGGAGAUAAUUCCCUUUCCUUUUCCAACCUUUAGAGGCUGUUCACAUUUGUUAGUUCUUGUCCUUCUCAGUCUUCAAAGCCAGCAAUGAAAGUGUGGGUCCUUCUCACAUCACAUCACAUCACCCAGGACUUCCAUUCUGCCUCCCAUUCCCAUAUUUAAGGACCCUUAUCAUAUACUGGACCCACCUGCAGAAUCCAGGAUACUUUCCCUAUUUUAAGGUUAGCUAAUCAGCAAUCAUAAUUCCAUUUGCCAUGUUAAUUUGCUUUUUCUAUGGAUUUUAACAUGUUCCUAACAGAUUAGGUUGAGGAGAUCUUUGAAAGGAGGCCUCAGUCUGCUUAGCACCAUGCCAUAAGAGGUAAUUAAAUAACAUAUAAAUAGAACUUAAAGAGGGGAAUAUGUCAUAUGGAACUAUGUACAUUACAUACGCUGCAUUUUCAUGAAAUGAAUUUUUCUUUACUCAUUUAAUUUGAGCCAAAUUAGUUUGUGAAAAUAACUCUUGUAUUUCAAACCAAAGCUUAUUAAGGCAGUUAUUUGAGUAGAAUGGGCUAGUAUGAAUAUUCUGUUUUCAAUCUAAUGGUUUGUUUAUCUGUGGUUGUCAAAUGCCUUAGGUGUUCAUAUUCUGUCAACAUAAGCUAUUAUAAUACAAGAGUAAGAGAAAGCAAAAUAUCAUGUAAGCAAACUUAAGUAUUUAAGAUGUACUAAUAAUCCCCAAUGAGGACAACAGACAACUAUGGAUAUUAAAUAAGCAAUUUAUGGACUGGGGUAUGGCUCAGUGGUACAGCACUUGCCUAGCAUGUUUGAGGCACUUGAUUUGAUCCUCAUCACUACAUAAAGAUAAAUAAAGGUAUGUGUCCACCUAUAACUAAUUUUUUUCAAAAAUUAACAAUUUACUUAGAAUAAAAUGUUUAAUGACAAAAAUAAUAUCCUAAUUUACAGAAUAUUCUUUUAGUGGACAUUCAACAUGGUGUGAUAUUUAGAACUCAGGAAAAGUUGUUCUAAUUAGAGACUUAGUUUAUGGUCUGAAGUGGAAGACAGAAUUGCUGUCAAUCACAGGACAUUAUCAUUUUACACUCCUCUCUGUUAGUUAUUUCCAGAUUUGUUCUGAUGAUUUCCAGUAACACAUUUAUUUGCAGGAGAAUAAACAAACUGCAUGGUCAUCCAAUACCCAUAAAUUGAAAGGUAUUGUUUUGCUUUUAAAAUGAGCAAACUGAAGUUCAGAAUAUUAUUUUGGAGGACAUUGAACAUGAUGUGAUACUUAGAACUCAGGAAGUAAUUGUCCUCCUAAGUAGCGAGUCACUCUAAUAUAAAGACAUUCAGAAAACUUAAAUUACUCAAGCAAGGACUCACCUCUGGAGACUAGAGGCCAGAAUCAGGAUUUAAAUCCCAAAUAAUAACUCCUGUACUAUAGUCCCUUAGUCUCAUUUGAUCUUCACAAAAUUGCUGUGAGGUAAAAAUAACUAUUAAUUUGUUUGAUCAUUGAGGAAAUUAAGUUUCAGAGAGGUUAGGUAACUUGACCAGUUUUACCCAGAUAGCAAAACUGGCAGAGCUGUCAUUCAAACCUACAUUGAUCUAACCUUAGAGCUGGGAUCUUUCUCUCUGAAUCUCUCCAGGAUGAAUAUAUAAUAGUAUUUCAAAUGAACUCAAUUGUACUAGAAAAAAAUGGAAAAAAACCCAAAAACAUUGCUUUCCAUUUUCAUCACUGAAGUCAGGACCUGGUCCUUAGAAAUCUUGAUUAAUUUCCCACUUGAUGGCAGCUCUCUGGGAGGUUUCCAAGCUUGUUCCCUGUCUUCAUAACACUGAUGAGCACUAAUUUAAUUAAUCAAAUAUAAGUUGAUGAUCUACGAUGUUGAAAUUGAUUUUCAAAUGAAACCAAUUAUAACUGCUCACAGUUCCAAGAAGAAAAUAUAAGCUAAGUGAUUUUAAGAUGCAAUUACUGGAUGCAGUAGAAUCAGAGGAGAAAAAAAUAAACUGAAUUUACAAAGCACUCUCUUCUUUCCAUUAUUAUCCCAUUAAGUCCAACUGGGAGGCUAGGAAGACAAAGAUUGUUGUCUCCAGAAACUAAGAUAUGAAAACUCAUGAUUUUUUCUAAUUAUGAUGCAAGUCUCUCAAAACAGGUGUCCCGCCUUUUAAAAUCAAUUUCAUAAACUUGCCUUCUAACUACGGAACUUGAAAGGUGGUCCCAUAUUUUCUGAUAGUAUAAGCAUUUCCUGAGUUGUCAUUGUUCAUCUCCUAUUAUAGCUUUGUCAAGAAUGUAAGCCCAGUGCUCAGAAGGAGAUGCUGAGACUUUAAAUAAGCCAAAUUUGAAAUACCAUAAGGCAGGCUAAUGGUUUGACAGGAAAGCCAUUCCCACCACAGUCUUAUCUAUAUAGACUGACAUGAAUCAGUUUCCAAGUAUAGUCUAAUUCACCUAAGAGUCUGCACAUUUCCCCCUGCCCUACCCACAUUCUAUCACCCUCUGGUCUGGACUAAUAUUUCCUUUAUAGAACAUUCCAGUACAGGUGGAAACUCAGGAGUUCAAGGCUGCUCUGGCCUUCAACCAAAUUGAUCUGGUGCCACUGGAUGUUUCUACAGCAAACAUGCACUUUCUCUGAGAGUGUCUUUAGUCAAGAAGUGCUCAGAUCAUUUCUGAAAGAACAAAAGGAUUUUCAGGAAACUCUUCUGUUGGGGUGGUUACCUGGGGUUACAAACGAGGGAAAGUACUACAGGUAGAUGUUGCUGCAUUGAGACCCAGUGUCUACUAUUCUGUUUUUAGUCAGACAGGCUAGUUACAUGCCUGACUAAAGCUCAGCUCUUUAAGAUCUUUGUCUAUGGGCUGAUGACACAUCAAUGCGUUAGUAUAAAUCUGACAGCUGCAGCUUACUAGCAUAUAACCAUUUGGUCUCAGAUAGUGUUGAAGAAGAAAAGGGCAUUGCUUAGUUCUAGUUUUGAGAAGGGAAUUUCAAAAGCUCCUCAUUCUUGCCUGUUUUAUGUCUUUACAGACCUUGGGAAUGUCUGUGAUAUUCAUCAGCAUCAGACUGAUCUCACCCUAAUUCAGAGCAGAUGGUUCCUUGUAUAUUAUGAUUUUAUAGGGGAUGUCUCUCUCAACUUUCAAAAACACCUGCCACCCACUAUGUAGGUCACAAAACUCUAAAAUGUUGCAGUUGAAAGCAUAGGCUCUGGAUUAAGAAUACCUGAGUUUGAUUUCUGGUGCUGCCAUUUGCUGUGUGAAUUUGCUCAUGAUUUUUAACCUCCUCUGGGACUCAAUUUCCUUAAUGUGUAACUAUGGAUGAUAAUAAUACCCACUUUUUAGAAUUUGUUAUGGUUUGGAUCUGAGGUGUCCCCCAAAUGCUCAUGUGUGAGAUAAUGCAGGAAGGCUCAAAGAGGAAAUGAUUAGGUUAUGAUAGCCUUAACUAAUCAGUAAAUUAAUUACCUGAUGGGAUUAAAUGAGUAGUAACUGAAGACUGGUGGGGUGUGGCUUUGGGGUAUAUAUUUGUAGCUGGUGAAUGGAGUCUCUCUAUCUGCUUCCUAAUCAUCAUGUGAACUACUUUCUUCAACUACAGUCUUCCACCAUAAUAUCUUGCCUCACCUUGAACCCCAAGGAAUGGAGCCAGCUACAUAUGGACUGAGACCUCUGAAACUGUGA